rnacentral:tRNA from 1 species
GCCUCCGUAGUUUAGUUGGUUAUAACACCCCACUAGUAUUUGCUACUGAUGGGGAGGUCUGUCGUUCGAAUCGGCACGGAGGCA